rnacentral:snoRNA from 1 species
CGAUGAUAAAUCUCCGGAAUCUCUGUAUCUACUUGAUGAAAACGAUGAACCCCUUUUCUGAUGACUGCUUUAUAGAGUUUUU